rnacentral:rRNA from 1 species
UCCUACGGGGGGCGGCAGUGGGGAAUUUUGGACAAUGGGCGAAAGCCUGAUCCAGCAAUGCCGCGUGUGUGAAGAAGGCCUUCGGGUUGUAAAGCACUUUUGUCCGGAAAGAAAUCCUUGGCUCUAAUACAGUCGGGGGAUGACGGUACCGGAAGAAUAAGCACCGGCUAACUACGUGCCAGCAGCCGCGGUAAUACGUAGGGUGCGAGCGUUAAUCGGAAUUACUGGGCGUAAAGCGUGCGCAGGCGGUUUGUUAAGACCGAUGUGAAAUCCCCGGGCUCAACCUGGGAACUGCAUUGGUGACUGGCAAGCUAGAGUAUGGCAGAGGGGGGUAGAAUUCCACGUGUAGCAGUGAAAUGCGUAGAGAUGUGGAGGAAUACCGAUGGCGAAGGCAGCCCCCUGGGCCAAUACUGACGCUCAUGCACGAAAGCGUGGGGAGCAAACAGGAUUAGAUACCCUGGUAGUCCACGCCCUAAACGAUGUCUUNNAGUUGUUGGGGAUUCAUUUCCUUAGUAACGUAGCUAACGCGUGAAGUGACCGNCCUGGGG